rfam:Chelonia mydas contig184785, whole genome shotgun sequence.
GAUUCUCCCUCUCUUUAUCCAGCAGUGAAGCCAUAAUCCUUGGUUUUUGAAAUAGCAAUCUGUUUCCAUGGAAAUGAAUGGGAUAUCACAAAUGUAGCCCUAUGACUUCACUUCAAGUAUGAGGAGAAGAUGAUCUGCAAAGGAGA